rnacentral:rRNA from 1 species
CGGCGGACGGGUGAGUAACGCGUAUGCAACCUACCUUUAACAGGGGGAUAACACUGAGAAAUUGGUACUAAUACCCCAUAAUAUCAUAGAAGGCAUCUUUUAUGGUUGAAAAUUCCGAUGGUUAGAGAUGGGCAUGCGUUGUAUUAGCUAGUUGGUGGGGUAACGGCUCACCAAGGCGACGAUACAUAGGGGGACUGAGAGGUUAACCCCCCACACUGGUACUGAGACACGGACCAG